rfam:Stegodyphus mimosarum contig116955, whole genome shotgun sequence.
GCCUUCGUGGUGUAGUGGUCAGCAGGAUCGACGUGUAACCGAGAGGUCCAUGGUUCGAGUCCCGGUGAAGGCG